GAUAAACUAAAGGUCAUAGUGUAUGUUCAGACUCAACAACAGCAAUAUGAAGGUUUUUCUUGUUUUAACUGUACUUUUUGCCCUGGCAGCAUGUGAGACAUGUGACGAUGAUGCAGAUGACUGUGAUUUAUUCCAAUGUGUUAACGGUACGAGUAAAAGAUGUAUAAAUAACAUAUGUACAUGUGUUUCAAGGUGUGAUAACGAUCAAGAAAAGUGUGAGUCGGCGUCUCAUUGUCAACACGAUGCCGACAAACAUGGGUGUCAGUGUAGCAGUAGUUACCACUGUAUUGACAGAUAUUGUCAUUGUGGAUUCCCAGCUAUGUCCACUCAAGCGCCUAUUGGUUAAACUCACAUACUGUAAUAAACUUCAUUUUAGAACAA